rnacentral:rRNA from 1 species
AUUGAACGCUGGCGGCAGGCCUAACACAUGCAAGUCGAACGGUAACAGGAAACAGCUUGCUGUUUCGCUGACGAGUGGCGGACGGGUGAGUAAUGUCUGGGAAACUGCCUGAUGGAGGGGGAUAACUACUGGAAACGGUAGCUAAUACCGCAUAACGUCGCAAGACCAAAGAGGGGGACCUUCGGGCCUCUUGCCAUCGGAUGUGCCCAGAUGGGAUUAGCUAGUAGGUGGGGUAACGGCGCACCUAGGCGACGAUCCCUAGCUGAUCUGAGAGGAUGACCAGCCACACUGGAACUGAGACACGGUCCAGACUCCUACGGGAGGCAGCAGUGGGGAAUAUUGCACAAUGGGCGCAAGCCUGAUGCAGCCAUGCCGCGUGUAUGAAGAAGGCCUUCGGGUUGUAAAGUACUUUCAGCGGGGAGGAAGGGAGUAAAGUUAACACCUUUGCUCAUUGACGUUACCCGCAGAAGAAGCACCGGCUAACUCCGUGCCAGCAGCCGCCGUAA